CCUACGGGAUGCAGCAGUAGGGAAUCUUCCACAAUGGGCGAAAGCCUGAUGGAGCAACGCCGCGUGGGUGAAGAAGGUCUUCGGAUCGUAAAACCCUGUUGUUAGAGAAGAAAGUGCGUGAGAGUAACUGUUCACGUGUCGACGGUAUCUAACCAGAAAGCCACGGCUAACUACGUGCCAGCAGCCGCGGUAAUACGUAGGUGGCAAGCGUUAUCCGGAUUUAUUGGGCGUAAAGGGAACGCAGGCGGUCUUUUAAGUCUGGUGUGAAAGCCUUCGGCUUAACCGGCGUAGUGCAUUGGACACUAGGAGACUAGAGUGCGGAAGAGGUGAGUGGAACUCCAUGUGUAGCGGUGAAAUGCGUAGAUAUAUGGAAGAACACCAGUGGCGAAGGCAGCUCUCUGGUCUGUAACUGACGCUGAGGUUCGAAAGCGUGGGUAGCAAACAGGAUUAGAUACCCCAGUAGUC
rnacentral:rRNA from 1 species